AACGCGAAGAACCUUACCAAGGCUUGACAUAUACGAGAACGGGCCAGAAAUGGUCAACUCUUUGGACACUCGUAUACAGGUGGUGCAUGGUUGUCGUCAGCUCGUGUCGUGAGAUGUUCGGUUAAGUCCGGCAACGAGCGCAACCCUCGUCCUAUGUUGCUAGCACGUUAUGGUGGGAACUCAUGGGAUACUGCCGUGGUCAACACGGAGGAAGGUGGGGAUGACGUCAAAUCAUCAUGCCCCUUAUGUCUUGGGCUUCACGCAUGCUACAAUGGCCGAUACAAAGGGCUGCGAUACCGCGAGGUGGAGCGAAUCCCAAAAAGUCGGUCUCAGUUCGGAUUGGGGUCUGCAACUCGACCCCAUGAAGUCGGAGUCGCUAGUAAUCGCAGAUCAGCAACGCUGCGGUGAAUACGUUCCCGGGUCUUGUACACACCG
rnacentral:rRNA from 1 species